CAUACUUUGUCCCCUCUCCACUUUUCCUUGUCCUCCAUGCUUGUCCCCCCACUCACAAACUCUAUACCACUCUCCCUACCUAUUAAAAACAGCCGAAUUCCUUUCUUCAAAGGACAAAGAGAACGAAAGAUAAAUGGAUUCCCCUCAUUUUGAAGGCCAACCCUAGCAGCCUUUUGCUUUCUUUCUAGACAGAAGACGCCUCCUUCCUCACAACAGAGAAGAACGAAAAUCCUCUCCAAAAAUAAAGCCUCUGCCGACCUCUUCUUCUCCAUUCACUCACACGCAUACACUCUGACCUCACACACACUCACCAUCAUACUCACACAGAGAUGGAGGCUCACCCACUCGUGUUUUGAACACACAUAGCUGAAACUAAAGCUAGAAAAAUUAAAUGAAGGUCUGAAAAUCAAAAUCCCCCAAAAGAUAGAAAGAAAAGCUGGAAUUUCCAAUGGGGGUUUGAAGAGACCGAUUUCAAAGUUCGAUUUCUUUCUUCCUGGGUUUCGGAAGGUACUUCCUUUGAACCUUGGAUUGCUAAUUGGAUAGGAAACAUGUCUAUGAUGGAAGAUGCGUGUGGGUUAUGAAGUUAAUGAAAUAGGUUUGUUCAGCUCUAAA